rnacentral:misc_RNA from 1 species
AGUUCCUGUGCAUAGGCUUGUUCAGCUUCAGAUUCAAAUUUGAAAACAUCAGGAGGUGGGAUGAGAUAGGUUGGUAUCCUUUGUGCUACUGCUUUAGUUGUCAUGCAAGAGAAUGUAGGGAAGCUUAGAAUGAUCAAAAUUGGCGGAGGAGCCGAACCAGAUUAAAGGAUUAAGAGUGGAUAUUGCUGCUGUAGAAUCCAAAAUUUUGUAUUUGAACAUAGAAGAGAGCUUAAAAUUUACUGCCGAAAAUCUAUACAAGAGCUUGAAAAAAAUUUAUGGCUAAACAAGAGUUGUCUAGUACGGAAGACUGGGUUUUGUUCUUGUUUUGUAGUUUUUUCAGGACAACUGUAAGUUUGUGUCAUUUGAUUGCCUAGGAGUUGGUGUAGAUGGGUUUACGUUUUUGGGUUCUAUUUCAUAGUGUUAGGUUUCUUUCCUUUUUUGCCUCAUCUAUCACAAGUGUGGGAGUGUAACGCCCCUCAGUGUAGCCGAGAGUGAGGAGUACAACAUUCGGUGUCGGAG